rnacentral:rRNA from 1 species
AGAGUUUGAUCCUGGCUCAGAGCGAACGCUGGCGGCAGGCUUAACACAUGCAAGUCGAGCGCUCGUAGCAAUACGAGAGCGGCAGACGGGAGAGUAACACGUGGGAACGUACCCUUCGGUUCGGAAUAACCCAGGGAAACUUGGGCUAAUACCGGAUACGUCCGUAAGGAGAAAGAUUUAUCGCCGAGGGAUCGGCCCGCGUCCGAUUAGCUAGUUGGUGGGGUAAUGGCCCACCAAGGCGACGAUCGGUAGCUGGUCUGAGAGGAUGAUCAGCCUCACUGGGACUGAGACACGGCCCAGACUCCUACGGGAGGCAGCAGUGGGGAAUAUUGGACAAUGGGCGCAAGCCUGAUCCAGCCAUGCCGCGUGGGUGAUGAAGGCCUUAGGGUUGUAAAGCCCUUCGGCGG